AAAAUGCCCAACACUCAAUUCAAGAAUAAACCCAGAGCAAACUUUCUCAACCCCCCCGGGGCCUCCCAAAAAAAAAAAAAAAAAAAAAAUGCACAACAAAAGGUCACCCCUUUUGCCAAAAAUCUCAAAUUUCAUGGCCAAAAUGAGAAAACCCAUCGUUCCAAGAUUCAUUCUCAAGAAAACAAGAAAAUCCAAUCAUUAUAAUUAUAGGUAUAUUAAGGAAUAUGAGUUCUUUCCUUCAAAUACCCCUCUAAUUCAGUUCCACAGAAAGUCGAAAAAGCAGAAAAUUUUGAAGAAAUUUUCCUCCGUUAUCUUCAUUUCUAAGUGUUUAAGAGUGCUGACAGCUGAAGGAGAAGAGGGAAGGUACCCUUUGGGAAUAGAAAUAGAUCCAUUGCCUUUUUAUAGAGAUUCAGUGGCAAGAGAACUGUCGUUAAUACCAGAUUCAUGCAGCGAAGAUGAUUCAGUUGAUGAGAAAGCAGAGAAGUUUAUUCAAAAGUUUUAUGAAGAAAUGAGAAGGCAGAGGCAGGAAUCAUUUUUGCGGCUCCAGCUCAAUCCAAGUGUUUUUUGAGUUGAUCAAACUAAUUUUGUCUUGUAAUGUUUAUUAAUGUUUCUUGUUACUCCACAUUAUUUUAAUGGUUGUGGAGAAAUUUCUUUUCAAGAGUUGUUCAAAAGUUGUUCCUUUUUGUGUGUUUAGGAUUUUGGGACAUAAAAAUAAAGAGCAGUGACCCUGUAU
rnacentral:lncRNA from 1 species